rnacentral:rRNA from 1 species
AGACCCGAAACCCGGUGAUCUAGCCAUGGGCAGGUUGAAGGUUGGGUAACACUAACUGGAGGACCGAACCGACUAAUGUUGAAAAAUUAGCGGAUGACCUGUGGCUGGGGGUGAAAGGCCAAUCAAACCGGGAGAUAGCUGGUUCUCCCCGAAAGCUAUUUAGGUAGCGCCUCGUGAAUUCAUCUCCGGGGGUAGAGCACUGUUUCGGCUAGGGGGCCAUCCCGGCUUACCAACCCGAUGCAAACUGCGAAUACCGGAGAAUGUUAUCACGGGAGACACACGGCGGGUGCUAACGUCCGUCGUGAAGAGGGAAACAACCCAGACCGCCAGCUAAGGUCCCAAAGUCAUGGUUAAGUGGGAAACGAUGUGGGAAGGCCCAGACAGCCAGGAUGUUGGCUUAGAAGCAGCCAUCAUUUAAAGAAAGCGUAAUAGCUCACUGGUCGAGUCGGCCUGCGCGGAAGAUGUAACGGGGCUAAACCAUGCACCGAAGCUGCGGCAGCGAACGUAUCACCCAAGACAACUUUACGGAGUUGACGAUUGACGGAGCGAAGCGACGUCAAAGCGUUCAUUAAAGUCGAGUUGGCUUAGGGAUACGUUCGUUGGGUAGGGGAGCGUUCUGUAAGCCUGUGAAGGUGUGUCGUGAGGCAUGCUGGAGGUAUCAGAAGUGCGAAUGCUGACAUAAGUAACGAUAAAGCGGGUGAAAAGCCCGCUCGCCGGAAGACCAAGGGUUCCUGUCCAACGUUAAUCGGGGCAGGGUGAGUCGACCCCUAAGGCGAGGCCGAAAGGCGUAGUCGAUGGGAAACGGGUUAAUAUUCCCGUACUUGGUGUUACUGCGAAGGGGGGACGGAGAAGGCUAUGUUGGCCGGGCGACGGUUGUCCCGGUUUAAGCGUGUAGGUGUGUGUUCCAGGUAAAUCCGGUUCACUUUAACACUGAGGCGUGACGACGAGGCACUACGGUGCUGAAGCAACAAAUGCCCUGCUUCCAGGAAAAGCCUCUAAGCAUCAGGUAACACGAAAUCGUACCCCAAACCGACACAGGUGGUCAGGUAGAGAAUACCAAGGCGCUUGAGAGAACUCGGGUGAAGGAACUAGGCAAAAUGGUGCCGUAACUUCGGGAGAAGGCACGCUGACACGUAGGUGAAGUGAUUUACUCAUGGAGCUGAAGUCAGUCGAAGAUACCAGCUGGCUGCAACUGUUUAUUAAAAACACAGCACUGUGCAAACACGAAAGUGGACGUAUACGGUGUGACGCCUGCCCGGUGCCGGAAGGUUAAUUGAUGGGGUCAGCGCAAGCGAAGCUCCUGAUCGAAGCCCCGGUAAACGGCGGCCGUAACUAUAACGGUCCUAAGGUAGCGAAAUUCCUUGUCGGGUAAGUUCCGACCUGCACGAAUGGCGUAAUGAUGGCCAGGCUGUCUCCACCCGAGACUCAGUGAAAUUGAACUCGCUGUGAAGAUGCAGUGUACCCGCGGCAAGACGGAAAGACCCCGUGAACCUUUACUAUAGCUUGACACUGAACAUUGAGCCUUGAUGUGUAGGAUAGGUGGGAGGCUUUGAAGUGUGGACGCCAGUCUGCAUGGAGCCGACCUUGAAAUACCACCCUUUAAUGUUUGAUGUUCUAACGUGGACCCGUAAUCCGGGUUGCGGACAGUGUCUGGUGGGUAGUUUGACUGGGGCGGUCUCCUCCUAAAGAGUAACGGAGGAGCACGAAGGUUGGCUAAUCCUGGUCGGACAUCAGGAGGUUAGUGCAAUGGCAUAAGCCAGCUUGACUGCGAGCGUGACGGCGCGAGCAGGUGCGAAAGCAGGUCAUAGUGAUCCGGUGGUUCUGAAUGGAAGGGCCAUCGCUCAACGGAUAAAAGGUACUCCGGGGAUAACAGGCUGAUACCGCCCAAGAGUUCAUAUCGACGGCGGUGUUUGGCACCUCGAUGUCGGCUCAUCACAUCCUGGGGCUGAAGUAGGUCCCAAGGGUAUGGCUGUUCGCCAUUUAAAGUGGUACGCGAGCUGGGUUUAGAACGUCGUGAGACAGUUCGGUCCCUAUCUGCCGUGGGCGCUGGAGAACUGAGGGGGGCUGCUCCUAGUACGAGAGGACCGGAGUGGACGCAUCACUGGUGUUCGGGUUGUCAUGCCAAUGGCACUGCCCGGUAGCUAAAUGCGGAAGAGAUAAGUGCUGAAAGCAUCUAAGCACGAAACUUGCCCCGAGAUGAGUUCUCCCUGAGACUUAGAGUCUCCUGAA